rnacentral:tRNA from 1 species
GCGGGAUUAGCUCAGCUGGUUAGAGCGUCAGUUUGUGGUACUGAAUGUCGCGCGUUCGAAUCGCGUAUCUCGCCCCA